rnacentral:lncRNA from 1 species
AAGUUCCCACUGGUGGGUUGCUACCACACCAGCACCAUGCUUCAAAUCCCCCAUAGCGUUUGUGGUGCACAUCUUGCAAACCCAUGCUUUGCCCCCAUACCUAUCUCUCUUGAACCCAGUCAAACUUCUGCAUGAAGGAAAAUGCCACACAAACUUAGUUCAGAAACAAUAGUAACUCAAUAUCUGGGCCCAACAACUAAAACCUUAUCUUGUAAGCCCUAUUUAAUCUGAUUCCUCUGGUGGCCAAUCCUAAUCUAGAUCCACCAUGAUACAGGGAAACUCUAGCUACAUUUUGUCCUCGCGCUAUCCCAGUCCAAAAAGAACCUAACUCUCUUCUGCUUCCUCUCUUCCUCCUUCCCACCCAGAAGUCCUGCCUACUCGCCCAGUGAUUGGUUCCUUUAUUCAUUUGGAGAUUGGUUCACAAGAAGCCACCUGAGUAUGUGACUCAUUCGUCAUUCCAGACAACCUCUCCUGGGACAGCAGAAUUAACAUAAAAAUGCAAGCAGCACAGAGCCAUCCACAACAUAUUAGGUUUGUGGUCUUGCUUUGGCCCAGUAUUUCCUUACCAAGACAUUUUGGAAUGGUAAUAUAUAUCCUGCAUGAUAUGAUGUUGGAGGUAUGUGAUCAGCUUUUUUAUUUUGAUUUCUUCAACUUAGAGAUUGCAUGACUCUUAGAAUGACUUUUCACUUUGGACUUUUAACAUUUUGAGACUGUUAUAGACUAUGGAACUUUUGAGUUGAACUAAAUGUAUUUUUGCAUUAUGCUAUGCCUUGGUAUAUCCCCCAUAGAGUCAUGUGUUUGAACAAGUCUAUGGAGGCCAAGGAGUCAAAUGUGGUGGUUUGAACAAGCUUGGCCGAGGAAGUGGCACCAUUAGGAGUUGUAGCCUUGUUGGAGGAGGUGUGGCCUUGUAGAGAGUGUGUCAUUGUCCUGCUGGGCUUUAAGAACCUUCUCCUAGCUGCUUGAGGAAAGUCUGCUCCUACCUUCCUUUGGAUGAAGACAUAGAACUCUCAGCUCCUCUAGCACCAUGUCUGCUUGGACACUGCUGUGCUUCCUGCCAUGAUGAUAAUGGGCUGAAAUUCUGAACCUGUAAGCCAGCCCCAAUUAAAUGUUGUCCUUUAUAAAAAUUGCCUUAGUCAUGGUGUCUGUUCAAUACACUUCUUUGUUUGGUGUGUUAAAGUUUACAUUGUGGAGGUUUAACUUCCUUGGUUAGGGUUUUCCCUUCUUUAUUCUUCUUCAAGCUA